CCCGGUGUUACGGGUGAAACGCGUUGAAGCGUGAGCAGCAUUUGCUUUGUGAGAAAAGGAAAGAGGAGUUAUUUGGAAGUUCCGGUCCCCAUUUCCAGCUUUCUCCCGGCACUAAUAAUUGGUUUAUCAGCACUGAGAUCGAGCGGGACUUUGCACAUGCAGGACAUACACCCAUGUUUGAUUGUGGUAUCUUGGCAACGAGUACCACCAUAUGCUGAUGUAAGGGUUCCCUUUGGGGGAGAGGG